rnacentral:rRNA from 1 species
UACGAAGGGGGCUAGCGUUGCUCGGAAUCACUGGGCGUAAAGCGCACGUAGGCGGCUUUUUAAGUCAGGGGUGAAAUCCUGGAGCUCAACUCCAGAACUGCCUUUGAUACUGAGAAGCUUGAGUCCGGGAGAGGUAAGUGGAACUGCGAGUGUAGAGGUGAAAUUCGUAGAUAUUCGCAAGAACACCAGUGGCGAAGGCGGCUCACUGGCCCGGUACUGACGCUGAGGUGCGAAAGCGUGGGGAGCAAACAGG